rnacentral:ncRNA from 1 species
AAGUUAAAGGAUGACCUUAAUUUAGCUU